AUAAGCCGGUUGAUGGAACAGAUACCAAAGAAUAGACAAAAGACGGAGAAACCACAGUAACUUUCUAGCUCUCUUAUCUUUCUCUCUUACCCAUUAACACUUCUCUCUUAUCUUUUCUUCUCUCUUAUCUUCGUUGUAAUCCUAAGGACUAAAGAAAAGGAAU
rnacentral:ribozyme from 1 species